GUGCUCACUUCGGCACAUAUGAAAUUGGAACGAUACAGAGAAGAGCAUGGAUGUGCAAGAAUGGCAAACAAAUUUAUGCAGCCUUCUAUAUUUAA
rnacentral:snRNA from 1 species